rnacentral:rRNA from 1 species
AACGAACGCUGGCGGCAUGCCUAACACAUGCAAGUCGAACGAGACCUUCGGGUCUAGUGGCGCACGGGUGCGUAACGCGUGGGAACCUGCCCUUAGGUUCGGAAUAACUCCCCGAAAGGGGUGCUAAUACCGGAUAAUGUCUUCGGACCAAAGAUUUAUCGCCUUUGGAUGGGCCCGCGUUGGAUUAGCUAGUUGGUAGGGUAAAAGCCUACCAAGGCGACGAUCCAUAGCUGGUCUGAGAGGAUGAUCAGCCACACUGGGACUGCGACACGGCCCAGACUCCUACGGGAGGCAGCAGUGGGGAAUAUUGGACAAUGGGCGAAAGCCUGAUCCAGCAAUGCCGCGUGAGUGAUGAAGGCCUUAGGGUUGUAAAGCUCUUUUACCCGGGAUGAUAAUGACAGUACCGGGAGAAUAAGCACCGGCUAACUCCGUG